GACGAACGCUGGCGGCGUGCUUAACACAUGCAAGUCGAACGGAAAGGCCCUGCUUUUGUGGGGUGCUCGAGUGGCGAACGGGUGAGUAACACGUGAGUAACCUGCCCCUGACUUUGGGAUAACUUCAGGAAACUGGGGCUAAUACCGGAUAGGAGCUCCUGCUGCAUGGUGGGGGUUGGAAAGUUUCGGCGGUUGGGGAUGGACUCGCGGCUUAUCAGCUUGUUGGUGGGGUAGUGGCUUACCAAGGCUUUGACGGGUAGCCGGCCUGAGAGGGUGACCGGCCACAUUGGGACUGAGAUACGGCCCAGACUCCUACGGGAGGCAGCAGUGGGGAAUAUUGCACAAUGGGCGGAAGCCUGAUGCAGCAACGCCGCGUGCGGGAUGACGGCCUUCGGGUUGUAAACCGCUUUCGCCUGUGACGAAGCAUGAGUGACGGUAAUGGGUAAAGAAGCACCGGCUAACUACGUG
rnacentral:rRNA from 1 species